AAUAUUGGACAAUGGGCGCAAGCCUGAUCCAGCCAUGCCGCGUGCAGGAUGAAGCNACNNUGGUGNGNAAACAGCUUUUGUACNNNNNGAAAAAACAUUCCGAGUAAUGUACUUACGGUACCGUAAGAAUAAUGAUCGGCUAGCUCCGUGCCAGCAGCCGCGGUAAUACGGAGGAUCCAAGCGUUAUCCGGAAUCAUUGGGUUUAAAGGGUCCGUAGGCGGCCUUAUGAGUCAGCGGUGAAAGUUUUUGGCUUAACCAAAAAAUUGCCAUUGAUACUGUAGGGCUUGAAUAUUUGUGAAGUAACUAGAAUAUGUAGUGUAGCGGUGAAAUGCUUAGAUAUUACAUGGAAUACCAAUUGCGAAGGCAGGUUACUAACGAAUGAUUGACGCUGAUGGAUGAAAGCGUGGGUAGCAAACAGG
rnacentral:rRNA from 1 species